rnacentral:tRNA from 1 species
GGAUUAUGGCUCAGUGGUAGAGUACUUGUUCAGCACACAUGAGGCCUUGGGUUCAAUCCUCAGCACCA